GCUUAAAAAAAAGCAGAGGGUCAGAGAGAGACAGUAAAAAGAGCUUCAUCUAAGACAUGUGGAGUUACACAAUCUUUGAUAUGUCUACAAAGAAGUACUUAUAUAUAUUGGUAAGAGGAAGGUAGGCAAUGACAUUAUAAAGCCUAUUUACCUCAUAAUUGCUUCAGCUGCCAUUGGACAGUGUAUAGCACUUGCCAAGCAUUGUGCUCAUUUCUUUAUGUGCUCACUAUUGGUCUUGCUCAGGAGCAAUACCCCAAAGGAGGUACUUUUGGUUAUCACUGAGGCAAUUGUAACUCAGAGAUGUUAACCUAGAACAAGAAGAAUGUGGCAGAUCUUGGGUUCAAAUCCAGCUUUACUCCACUCCACACCAUAAUGACUCCCUUUACCUUUUCCUAGAGAAGUCUGUUCCAAGCCUCUAUUCAGAACUGACCUUUCACGUUUUCCCCCUAUGGAGAGCCAACUGUAGUAGGAUAAUGUUUUGCAGAAUCAAGACAGAACUCCAAGUCUUCCUUGGACCCACCACUCAGGGAGAAAAAACAAGACAGACUAUGAUGCAGCAAGAAGGCCUUGCCUGAUACCACGCUUUGACCUUGAACUUCCCCCACCAGAACUAAGCUGCUAGACAAAAAUACAUCUUUACUUCACACAUGAAGUAACCGAGGCACAAAGAGUUUGGAUGACAGACAUGGAAUUCAAUUCUAGGCAGAUUAACAAGGAUCCAGAUAGAAGCAAAAUGAAACACAUGUAAGAGGCUGUGGCUUAUCACAACAAUCAGAAGCUCUAAGGUGCCCUGGAGGUAUAAGAGCUUCCAUCUUCUACAGCUGAGCAGCUGCUGGAUCUUCUGGCUCUCCAGAGUGCAGACCGCCACUGUGUAUUAUCCUGCCUCUGAUGCUGUUCUCUACAGACAGUAGGAGGGCAUUCAUGAAGAAGAAAGGAGCUCUUUCUCUGCCCCAAAGAGAAGUCUGUUGGGCCAAUGUUUCUUUGCAUUUCUAAAUCUGUGGACUUGGUUUCUCUAGGUGAGCACUGUAGGACACCUGUACUGAGAAUGGACUCCAAAAGGGGGUUUUGAAGGUGGAGCAGGAGUUGGCUGUGUGACAAACCCACGGAAAGAGGACAUCCUCUGGGCUAGAGUGAGCAGCAACAAUACCUUCCCAGAGCAAAGAGGAUGUCCUCAAGGAGCUGCUGGUAGCUCAGCACAGCUCUUGGUUCUCUGUGACAAUAAAGGAAACGUG